rnacentral:lncRNA from 1 species
UUUCUUUCAUCAUUGGUACUAUCACAAUACAUGCACCUCUUAACAAAUUUCUUUAAUUCCUCCAAUACAUGCACCUCUUAAAAAAUUUCUUUAAUUCCUGCAAUACAUGCAAAAAAGUAGUCCUUUAGCUCUUCUUCAACUCAUUCAUCUUUACUCUCAAUCCUCUCAUGCUUUUAAGCAACUUUUCAAGGGUGACUUUGGAAAGAGAAUUACAUAUCUUUUGGAUUG